GACGAACGCUGGCGGCGUGCCUAACACAUGCAAGUCGAACGGAGAUGUUGAUUUCGGUUGACAUCUUAGUGGCGCACGGGUGAGUAACACGUGAAUAACCUGACCCAAAGAGGGGGAUAGCAUCUGGAAACAGGUGCUAAUACCGCAUAAGACCACAAUGCCGCAUGGCGAAGGGGUCAAAGAGGAUCGCUUUGGGAGGGGUUCGCGUCCCAUUAGGUAGUAGGCGGGUAAAGGCCCACCUAGCCGACGAUGGGUAGCCGAGCUGAGAGGCUGAUCGGCCACACUGGAACUGAGACACGGUCCAGACUCCUACGGGAGGCAGCAGUGGGGAAUAUUGGGCAAUGGGCGCAAGCCUGACCCAGCAACGCCGCGUGAGGGAAGAAGGUUUUCGGAUUGUGAACCUCUGUCGCAGAAGACGAAGGAAGUGACGGUAAUC
rnacentral:rRNA from 1 species